rnacentral:rRNA from 1 species
GGCAGCGGGGAUAAGCUUGCUUAUCCGCCGGCGACCGGCGCACGGGUGCGCAACGCGUAUAUAAUCUGCCCUGUACUGGGGAAUAGCCCACAGAAAUUUGGAUUAAUGCCCCAUGGUAUGUAUUAGCGGCAUCGCUUAUACAUUAAAGGCUACGGUACAGGAUGACUAUGCGUCCCAUUAGUUAGUUGGUAAGGUAACGGCUUACCAAGGCAGCGAUGGGUAGGGGCCCUGACAGGGGGAUCCCCCACACUGGUACUGAAACACGGACCAGACUCCUACGGGAGGCAGCAGUGAGGAAUAUUGGACAAUGGGCGGGAGCCUGAUCCAGCCAUGCCGCGUGCAGGA